GACGAACGCUGGCGGCGUGCUUAACACAUGCAAGUCGAACGGUGAUCCAUCAGCUUGCUGGUGGUGAUCAGUGGCGAACGGGUGAGUAACACGUGAGUAACCUGCCCCUGACUCUGGAAUAACCCCGGGAAACCGGGGCUAAUACCGGAUAUGACAUCAUCCCGCAUGGGUGUGGUGUGGAAAGUUUUUUCGGUUGGGGAUGGGCUCGCGGCCUAUCAGCUUGUUGGUGAGGGAGUGGCUCACCAAGGCGACGACGGGUAGCCGGCCUGAGAGGGCGACCGGCCACACUGGGACUGAGACACGGCCCAGACUCCUACGGGAGGCAGCAGUGGGGAAUAUUGCACAAUGGGCGGAAGCCUGAUGCAGCGACGCCGCGUGAGGGAUGACGGCCUUCGGGUUGUAAACCUCUUUCAGCUCUGAAGAAGCGAAAGUGACGGUAGGAGCAGAAGAAGCACCGGCUAACUACGUGCCAGCCGCCGCCGUAAAAC
rnacentral:rRNA from 1 species